rnacentral:rRNA from 1 species
AAUGAACGUUGGCGGCGUGCUUAACACAUGCAAGUCGAGCGAGAAAACUCCUUCGGGAGUGGCAGACGGGUGAGUAACGCGUGGGAACGUGCCCUUCAGUUCGGGAUAACCCAGGGAAACUUGGGCUAAUACCGGAUACGUGCGAGAGCAGAAAGAUUUAUCGCUGAAGGAUCGGCCCGCGUCUGAUUAGCUAGUUGGUGGGGUAAUGGCCCACCAAGGCGACGAUCAGUAGCUGGUCUGAGAGGAUGAUCAGCCACAUUGGGACUGAGACACGGCCCAAACUCCUACGGGAGGCAGCAGUGGGGAAUAUUGGACAAUGGGCGCAAGCCUGAUCCAGCCAUGCCGCGUGAGUGAUGAAGGCCUUAGGGUUGUAAAGCUCUUUUACCCGGGACGAUAAUGACUGUACCGGGAGAAUAAGCCCCGGCUAACUUCGUGCCAGCAGCCGCCGUAA